rnacentral:rRNA from 1 species
CCGAUAGUGAACCAGUACCGUGAGGGAAAGGCGAAAAGAACCCCGGCGAGGGGAGUGAAAAAGAACCUGAAACCGUGUACGUACAAGCAGUGGGAGCACAGAGCAAUCUGUGUGACUGCGUACCUUUUGUAUAAUGGGUCAGCGACUUAUAUUCUGUAGCAAGGUUAACCGAAUAGGGGAGCCGAAGGGAAACCGAGUCUUAACUGGGCGUUAAGUUGCAGGGUAUAGACCCGAAACCCGGUGAUCUAGCCAUGGGCAGGUUGAAGGUUGGGUAACACUAACUGGAGGACCGAACCGACUAAUGUUGAAAAAUUAGCGGAUGACUUGUGGCUGGGGGUGAAAGGCCAAUCAAACCGGGAGAUAGCUGGUUCUCCCCGAAAGCUAUUUAGGUAGCGCCUCGUGAAUUCAUCUCCGGGGGUAGAGCACUGUUUCGGCAAGGGGGUCAUCCCGACUUACCAACCCGAUGCAAACUGCGAAUACCGGAGAAUGUUAUCACGGGAGACACACGGCGGGUGCUAACGUCCGUCGUGAAGAGGGAAACAACCCAGACCGCCAGCUAAGGUCCCAAAGUCAUGGUUAAGUGGGAAACGAUGUGGGAAGGCCCAGACAGCCAGGAUGUUGGCUUAGAAGCAGCCAUCAUUUAAAGAAAGCGUAAUAGCUCACUGGUCGAGUCGGCCUGCGCGGAAGAUGUAACGGGGCUAAACCAUGCAC